rnacentral:rRNA from 1 species
GUGGGGAAUAUUGGACAAUGGGCGAAAGCCUGAUCCAGCCAUGCCGCGUGAGUGAUGAAGGCCUUAGGGUUGUAAAGCUCUUUCAGUAGUGAAGAUAAUGACGGUACCUACAGAAGAAGCCCCGGCUAACUUCGUGCCAGCAGCCGCGGUAAUACGAAGGGGGCUAGCGUUGUUCGGAUUUACUGGGCGUAAAGCGCACGUAGGCGGAUUGGUCAGUUAGAGGUGAAAUCCUGGAGCUCAACUCCAGAACUGCCUUUAAUACUGCCAGUCUAGAGUCCAGAAGAGGUGAGUGGAACUCCUAGUGUAGAGGUGGAAUUCGUAGAUAUUAGGAAGAACACCAGUGGCGAAGGCGGCUCACUGGUCUGGUACUGACGCUGAGGUGCGAAAGCGUGGGGAGCAAACAGGAUUAGAAACCCGGGUAGUCC